UGGGUCUCCCAAACUUUUUCUUAAGUGAGUUUAUUUCCUUUCCUUUUGUGCACUGGGCUGCUCCUUUUGUUCCUUCAGGCAUUUCUUCAAACACGUUCUAAAUUUUAGAUUGCAUGCAAAUACAAUAGGAUUGUGUUUUUGAGAAAAUUGAGUUGGGGUGUUUCUACAUAUGGAAUUUCUAUGUAGCCAAAGGAUGGACAGGCGUGUUGA
rnacentral:misc_RNA from 1 species